GAUGAAACGCAGCGAAAUGCGAUAAGUAAUGUGAAUUGCAGAAUUCAGUGAAUCAUCGAAUCUUUGAACGCACAUUGCGCCCGCCAGCAUUCUGGCGGGCAUGCCUGUUCGAGCGUCAUUUCAACCCUCAAGCUCUGCUUGGUGUUGGGGCCCUACGGUUGACGUAGGCCCUUAAAGGUAGUGGCGGACCCUCUCGGAGCCUCCUUUGCGUAGUAACUAACGUCUCGCAUUGGGAUUCGGAGGGACUCUUGCCGUAAAACCCCCAAAUUUUCUAAUGGUUGACCUCGGAUCAGGUAGGAAUACCCGCUGAACUUAAGCAUAUCAAUAAGCGGAGGA
rnacentral:misc_RNA from 1 species